rnacentral:rRNA from 1 species
AAUCCAUAGGUUAAUGAGGCGAACCGGGGGAACUGAAACAUCUAAGUACCCCGAGGAAAAGAAAUCAACCGAGAUUCCCCCAGUAGCGGCGAGCGAACGGGGAGGAGCCCAGAGCCUGAAUCAGCAUGUGUGUUAGUGGAAGCGUCUGGAAAGGCGCGCGAUACAGGGUGACAGCCCCGUACACAAAAGCGCAUGUGCUGUGAGCUCGAUGAGUAGGGCGGGACACGUGGUAUCCUGUCUGAAUAUGGGGGGACCAUCCUCCAAGGCUAAAUACUCCUGACUGACCGAUAGUGAACCAGUACCGUGAGGGAAAGGCGAAAAGAACCCCGGCGAGGGGAGUGAAAAAGAACCUGAAACCGUGUACGUACAAGCAGUGGGAGCACCCUUUGGGGUGUGACUGCGUACCUUUUGUAUAAUGGGUCAGCGACUUAUAUUCUGUAGCAAGGUUAACCGAAUAGGGGAGCCGGAGGGAAACCGAGUCUUAAUUGGGCGUUAAGUUGCAGGGUAUAGACCCGAAACCCGGUGAUCUAGCCAUGGGCAGGUUGAAGGUUGGGUAACACUAACUGGAGGACCGAACCGACUAAUGUUGAAAAAUUAGCGGAUGACCUGUGGCUGGGGGUGAAAGGCCAAUCAAACCGGGAGAUAGCUGGUUCUCCCCGAAAGCUAUUUAGGUAGCGCCUCGUGAAUUCAUCUCCGGGGGUAGAGCACUGUUUCGGCUAGGGGGCCAUCCCGGCUUACCAACCCGAUGCAAACUGCGAAUACCGGAGAAUGUUAUCACGGGAGACACACGGCGGGUGCUAACGUCCGUCGUGAAGAGGGAAACAACCCAGACCGCCAGCUAAGGUCCCAAAGUCAUGGUUAAGUGGGAAACGAUGUGGGAAGGCCCAGACAGCCAGGAUGUUGGCUUAGAAGCAGCCAUCAUUUAAAGAAAGCGUAAUAGCUCACUGGUCGAGUCGGCCUGCGCGGAAGAUGUAACGGGGCUAAACCAUGCACCGAAGCUGCGGCAGCGACACUGUGUGUUGUUGGGUAGGGGAGCGUUCUGUAAGCCUGUGAAGGUGGCCUGUGAGGGUUGCUGGAGGUAUCAGAAGUGCGAAUGCUGACAUAAGUAACGAUAAAGCGGGUGAAAAGCCCGCUCGCCGGAAGACCAAGGGUUCCUGUCCAACGUUAAUCGGGGCAGGGUGAGUCGACCCCUAAGGCGAGGCCGAAAGGCGUAGUCGAUGGGAAACAGGUUAAUAUUCCUGUACUUGGUGUUACUGCGAAGGGGGGACGGAGAAGGCUAUGUUGGCCGGGCGACGGUUGUCCCGGUUUAAGCGUGUAGGUGUGUGUUCCAGGUAAAUCCGGUUCACUUUAACACUGAGGCGUGAUGACGAGGCACUACGGUGCUGAAGCAACAAAUGCCCUGCUUCCAGGAAAAGCCUCUAAGCAUCAGGUAACAUCAAAUCGUACCCCAAACCGACACAGGUGGUCAGGUAGAGAAUACCAAGGCGCUUGAGAGAACUCGGGUGAAGGAACUAGGCAAAAUGGUGCCGUAACUUCGGGAGAAGGCACGCUGACACGUAGGUGAAGUGAUUUACUCAUGGAGCUGAAGUCAGUCGAAGAUACCAGCUGGCUGCAACUGUUUAUUAAAAACACAGCACUGUGCAAACACGAAAGUGGACGUAUACGGUGUGACGCCUGCCCGGUGCCGGAAGGUUAAUUGAUGGGGUCAGCGCAAGCGAAGCUCCUGAUCGAAGCCCCGGUAAACGGCGGCCGUAACUAUAACGGUCCUAAGGUAGCGAAAUUCCUUGUCGGGUAAGUUCCGACCUGCACGAAUGGCGUAAUGAUGGCCAGGCUGUCUCCACCCGAGACUCAGUGAAAUUGAACUCGCUGUGAAGAUGCAGUGUACCCGCGGCAAGACGGAAAGACCCCGUGAACCUUUACUAUAGCUUGACACUGAACAUUGAGCCUUGAUGUGUAGGAUAGGUGGGAGGCUUUGAAGUGUGGACGCCAGUCUGCAUGGAGCCGACCUUGAAAUACCACCCUUUAAUGUUUGAUGUUCUAACGUGGACCCGUAAUCCGGGUUGCGGACAGUGUCUGGUGGGUAGUUUGACUGGGGCGGUCUCCUCCUAAAGAGUAACGGAGGAGCACGAAGGUUGGCUAAUCCUGGUCGGACAUCAGGAGGUUAGUGCAAUGGCAUAAGCCAGCUUGACUGCGAGCGUGACGGCGCGAGCAGGUGCGAAAGCAGGUCAUAGUGAUCCGGUGGUUCUGAAUGGAAGGGCCAUCGCUCAACGGAUAAAAGGUACUCCGGGGAUAACAGGCUGAUACCGCCCAAGAGUUCAUAUCGACGGCGGUGUUUGGCACCUCGAUGUCGGCUCAUCACAUCCUGGGGCUGAAGUAGGUCCCAAGGGUAUGGCUGUUCGCCAUUUAAAGUGGUACGCGAGCUGGGUUUAGAACGUCGUGAGACAGUUCGGUCCCUAUCUGCCGUGGGCGCUGGAGAACUGAGGGGGGCUGCUCCUAGUACGAGAGGACCGGAGUGGACGCAUCACUGGUGUUCGGGUUGUCAUGCCAAUGGCACUGCCCGGUAGCUAAAUGCGGAAGAGAUAAGUGCUGAAAGCAUCUAAGCACGAAACUUGCCCCGA